rnacentral:rRNA from 1 species
CAAUAGCGUAUAUUAAAGUUGUUGCAGUUAGAACGCUCGUAGUCGGAUUUCGGGGCGGGCCGACCGGUCUGCCGAUGGGUAUGCACUGGUCGGCGCGUCCUUCCUUCCGGAGACCGUUCCUACUCUUAACUGAGCGGGGGCGGGAGACGGAUCGUUUACUUUGAAAAAAUCAGAGUGUUUCAAGCAGGCAGCUCGCUCUUGCAUGGAUUAGCAUGGGAUAAUGAAAUAGGACUUUGGUGCUAUUUUGUUGGUUUCGAACACCGAAGUAAUGAUUAAAAGGGACAGUCAGGGGCACUCGUAUUCCGCCGAGAGAGGUGAAAUUCUCAGACCAGCGGAAGACGAACUACUGCGAAAGCAUUUGCCAGGGAUGUUUUCACUG